UACAGAGGGUGCGAGCGUUAUUCGGAAUUACUGGGCGUAAAGCGUGCGUAGGCGGUUAUUUAAGUCGGAUGUGAAAGCCCCGGGCUCAACCUGGGAAUUGCAUUCGAGACUGAAUAGCUAGGGUGCGGUAGAGGGAAGCGGAAUUUCCGGUGUAGCGGUGAAAUGCGUAGAUAUCGGAAGGAACAUCAGUGGCGAAAGCGGCUUCCUGGACCAGCACCGACGUUCAGGCACGAAAGCGUGGGGAGCAAACAGG
rnacentral:rRNA from 1 species